CUUUUUGGCCCUAGUAUGUCCAGUGAAAAGACAACAUUACAAUAGCAUGGCACACUUUUUGGAAAAAGUGUGCCAUGCUAUUGUAAUGUCUUUUCACUGGACAUACUAGGGCCAUUA
rnacentral:pre_miRNA from 1 species